rnacentral:misc_RNA from 1 species
GAAAUGCGAUAAGUAAUGUGAAUUGCAGAAUUCAGUGAAUCAUCGAAUCUUUGAACGCACAUUGCGCCCGCCAGCACUCUGGCGGGCAUGCCUGUUCGAGCGUCAUUUCAACCAUCAAGCCCCCAGGGGCUUGUGCUGGGGUCCUGCGGCUGCCCGCAGGCCCUGAAAACCAGUGGCGGGCUCGCUAGUCACACCGAGCGCAGUAGCACAUCUCGCUCAGGGCGUGCGGCGGGCUCCUGCCGUGAAACCCCCCACUGUAACCCCAAAGGUUGACCUCGGAUCAGGUAGGAAUACCCGCUGAACUUAA